rnacentral:rRNA from 1 species
GCUUAACCGGAGAAGUGCAUCGGAAACUGGGAACUUGAGUGCAGAAGAGGACAGUGGAACUCCAUGUGUAGCGGUGAAAUGCGUAGAUAUAUGGAAGAACACCAGUGGCGAAGGCGGCUGUCUGGUCUGUAACUGACGCUGAGGCUCGAAAGCAUGGGUAGCGAACAGGAUUAGAUACCCUGGUAGUCCAUGCCGUAAACGAUGAGUGCUAAGUGUUGGAGGGUUUCCGCCCUUCAGUGCCGCAGCUAACGCAUUAAGCACUCCGCCUGGGGAGUACGACCGCAAGGUUGAAACUCAAAGGAAUUGACGGGGGCCCGCACAAGCGGUGGAGCAUGUGGUUUAAUUCGAAGCUACGCGAAGAACCUUACCAGGUCUUGACAUCUUCUGCCAAUCUUAGAGAUAAGACGUUCCCUUCGGGGACAUGGAGACAGGUGGUGCAUGGUUGUCGUCAGCUCGUGUCGUGAGAUGUUGGGUUAAGUCCCGCAACGAGCGCAACCCUUAUUAUCAGUUGCCAGCAUUCAGUUGGGCACUCUGGUGAGACUGCCGGUGACAAACCGGAGGAAGGUGGGGAUGACGUCAAAUCAUCAUGCCCCUUAUGACCUGGGCUACACACGUGCUACAAUGGACGGUACAACG